GUACGGGUUAAAUCUUGCAAGCUAAAUUUGACCCACUUUCCGACUUCCAAUGAAGCUGAAGGUUGGCAUACAUAUGUAAGUCGGGUGACAAUGCAAUAUUAUGGUACCAUCGAGCUGACCUGAUGAUGGAGACAGGAGGUGGCCAUAGGAGCUCUGUGAUAAAACAACGCAACCUAAUUGUGUUUGGGGUUUUUAGAAUUGUCUCGAUGAGUAUUAGUUGCCUGUGGAAAGAAAUGUACAUUCAGCAAUGAAAGCUUGUACCAAAAAUUGUAUUUUUGCCAAAAACUUAUUAUCAAUUUGUAAUUUUUCUCAUGUAAAAUAUAAUCUACAGCUAGAAAGACAUGCGACAGCACUCUACUUUUUUAUUUAUUUCAUAAAUACAAGCGUGACAGAGUGGUCAGAAACAAGACAAGGAAAAUAAUUUUGACGCGCUUGCCGCACUGAUAUCAACCAUAUUGAGUUGAUAAUGAGUGUCAUAUAUAUUUAUUGUUGUGUAAAACAGUUUAAUCGUACGGCACUGUUAUUUUUUCUGUAUUUAAUGGCAGCAAAAUGUACAACUUCGAGGAAUUCGGCAAUUUCAUAGUUGCGUCAGAGAAUUAUUUAACUGUGCCGCAGGUUUAAGCUUUCUCUUGUUGUGACGAUGUUUAAUUGUUAGAUAAUUGUUACAUUAGGUCUUAAGAAUACCCGUUUAGCCGGGGUAAGUUUAUAAAUACUUGAUAAAAAUAAAUGCAAAAUAGGUACAAUGGUUGUCAAUUUGCGGAUAAUAAUGUCUGUAUUGCGCGCGGUGUUUAAGUACCUACGUCUGUAUCUGACCUACUGAUAAAACAGUAGAUCCCACAUUUUGUUUGUAGCCGGCUAACUAGAGCGGAAAGUGAAAAGUAUGUCCUUAUAGUUAUAAUUUACAGGAGUUUAUAAUUUACCUGCAUUUAUCGCGAAUCAUAAGCAUCGAGGCACAUUAAAUAAGAAAUAAAAUCAGAGUUGUGCUAUUUGCAACAAAAUUCCAAGAGAAAAUUGAUGAGAAAAAACAAAAGACGGGCGAAUGACUUAGUUUUUUUUUACAACCGGCCAGUGCGCGCGGUGGCUGCACCAUGCAGGUUUGCCAUGUUACAUGUUUAAAAACUAUUGAUAUUAAUUGUAGGUACGUGUACAGUUACCUGCAAUAAUAUGUUACACAACGAUGGCCGCAAAAAUAUGUGACACGCUCUUAUGGCUCUACAAAUAAGAUUGUGUCAGAUAUUUUUGCGGCCUUCGUUGUAUAACAUAUUAUUGCAGGUGACUGUACCUAAGUAUUUUAUUACUAUUUAAAUGGAGGAUUAUUUUUUUACGACCUCAACAAUAUUGAUAGGCACUUUGGUACUGGAAAAAAAGAUAAAAUAUAAAAGAAAAUCAAAAUCGGGACUGUAAAGUUUAUUGUUGAGGUCCCUUCCUCGUUGAAUGGUCUAUGUAGUCCAGUGUCUCAGUGUCUGUAUCUACAUGUUAUUAUUUUGAUAAAUAAAAGUCUAUAAAA